rnacentral:misc_RNA from 1 species
AACAGACCCAUUGUCCCCGUAAACUCCCUUCUUGGUGGGCUCAGGAAUUUCCAAAGGUCUUUGGUUGAGAAUCUAAGGACAAAUUCUACCGUAAUUCUGCAGCUUCUCGAUGAGGAAAUUGAGAAAGGAUACUCUCAGAGGAGGGAGCAACGGUGGCCAUGACGGAAUAAAAUAAUAGUUAACAAAUUAUGCAUCUAUUAAGCAUACUAUUACAACUGUAUCUGUAAAUUCAUAAUAUAUCCC